rnacentral:rRNA from 1 species
UGGGGAAUUGUUCGCAAUGGGCGCAAGCCUGACGACGCAACGCCGCGUGGAGGAUGAAGGUCUUCGGAUUGUAAACUCCUGUUGACCGGGAAGAAUGGGCCUCGGGGUAAUACUCCGGGGCAAUGACGGUACCGGUUGAGGAAGCCACGGCUAACUCUGUGCCAGCAGCCGCGGUAAUACAGAGGUGGCAAGCGUUGUUCGGAAUUACUGGGCGUAAAGGGCGCGUAGGCGGCCCUCUUAGUCGGACGUGAAAUCCCCAGGCUUAACUUGGGAACUGCGUCCGAUACUGGAGGGCUUGAGUGCGGGAGAGGGAUGUGGAAUUCCAGGUGUAGCGGUGAAAUGCGUAGAUAUCUGGAGGAACACCGGUGGCGAAGGCGGCAUCCUGGACCGACACUGACGCUGAUGCGCGAAAGCUAGGGGAGCAAACGGGAUUAGAUACCCCGGUAGUCCUAGCCCUAAACGAUGAGUGCUUGGUGUGGCGGGUAUCGAUCCCUGCCGUGCCGAAGCUAACGCAUUAAGCACUCCGCCUGGGGAGUACGGUCGCAAGGCUGA